rnacentral:rRNA from 1 species
GAUUAACGCUAGCGGGAGGCCUAAUACAUGCAAGGCGAGGGUGAAUACUUUCGGGUAUGAAACCGCCGUACGGGUACGUAACGCGUAUGCAACCUGCCCAUCACAGGGGGACAGCCCAUGGAAACGUGGAUUAAUACCGCAUGAAGCAGGGGCACUGCAUGGUGAUACUGCUAAAGAUUUAUCGGUGAUGGAUGGGCAUGCGUCUGAUUAGCUAGUUGGUAGGGUAAUGGCCUACCAAGGCGACGAUCAGUAGGGGAGCUGAGGGGUUUUUCCCCCACACGGGCACUGAGACACGGGCCCG